GGCCCUGUGAGGCCCUGGCAUGUGCCAGGGGCUGGCAGAAGCUCACGCCCCUCAUACCGCCUGGGGGCCUGGCCAGGCCCCCUCUCCCUUGGCCUGGUCCUCACUGGCUGGGAUGCCCAUGGAGGGGCCUCUGGUCCAGCGACUGGAUGGAGGAAAUGGCACGGCUGUUCAUGCAACCACCUCUGUAACCAGCACAAAGGCAGGGCCCUCCUCUUGCCUCUGAAACCCCACCCUCUGCCACCAGGCUCUCCAUUCCCACCCAUCCCUGCCCCUGCAGAGAGAACAGGGCUGGAUCUGGGGGUGCAGGGGCGCCGAUGGAGCAGAAGAGGGGGACACAGACAUUCGAGAGACAGAUAGGAUGUUCUGGAUUGCAUGAAUUUUCCAAAAAGGACUGCAAAAAUAUCUGCCAUCAUACUCGGUUUUCUUUAAUCUGACCCACCUUUCCCUCAUCAAGAGGCUAGCAGGCUGGAAAGUCAGUCUCAAAUGGAAGACCAGGCUGGAAGACUGGAAACCUAAACUGUAGUUGCUACUGUCAUCUUGAGGAAGAAUUUUUUCUUCUCUGAGAAGCCUCACAUUUUACCCAAAGUCCUUCACCUGAUUGAAAAAGUCAUACCCACAUUUUUAAGGGUAAUUUCCUUUUCAUAAAAUCACCUGAUAUCAGAUUUUAACCACAACUGCAAAAUACUAUCAUAGCAACAUCUAAAUUUAGUGUUAGACU